GCCGUUCUCAGUUCGGAUCGGAGUCUGCAACCCGACUCCGUGAAGCUGGAUUCGCUAGUAAUCGCGCAUCAGCCAUGGCGCGGUGAAUACGUUCCCGGGCCUUGUACACACCGCCCGUCAAGCCAUGGAAGCCGGGGGCGCUUGAAGUGCGUUGCCGCAAGGCGCGCCCUAGAGCGAAACCGGUGACUGGGGCUAAGUCGUAACAAGGUAUC
rnacentral:rRNA from 1 species